UACGAAGGGGGCUAGCGUUGCUCGGAAUCACUGGGCGUAAAGGGUGCGUAGGCGGGUCUUUAAGUCAGAGGUGAAAUCCUGGAGCUCAACUCCAGAACUGCCUUUGAUACUGAAGAUCUUGAGUUCGGGAGAGGUGAGUGGAACUGCGAGUGUAGGGGUGAAAUUCGUAGAUAUUCGCAAGAACACCAGUGGCGAAGGCGGCUCACUGGCCCGAUACUGACGCUGAGGCACGAAAGCGUGGGGAGCAAACAGG
rnacentral:rRNA from 1 species